AGAGUUUGAUCCUGGCUCAGAACAAACGCUGGCGGCGUGCCUAACACAUGCAAGUCGUACGAGAAAGGGUCCUUCGGGAUCUGAGUAAAGUGGCGCACGGGUGAGUAACGCGUGGAUAAUCUGCCCCCCAGUUGGGAAUAACUCAUCGAAAGGUGGGCUAAUACCGAAUAAUACUGUGAGACUUUGGUCGAUCAGUCAAAGAGAGCCUCUGCUUGCAAGCCCUCGCUGAAGGAUGAGUCCGCGUACCAUUAGCUUGUUGGUAGGGUAAUGGCCUACCAAGGCUACGAUGGUUAGCUGGUCUGAGAGGAUGAUCAGCCACACUGGAACUGAGACACGGUCCAGACUCCUACGGGAGGCAGCAGUGAGGAAUCUUGCGCAAUGGGGGCAACCCUGACGCAGCAACGCCGCGUGAGUGAGGAAGGUCUUCGGAUCGUAAAGCUCUGUCAGUUGGGAAGAACUACCUAAGGGUGAAUACCUCUUAGGCUUGACGGUACCAACAGAGGAAGCACCGGCUAACUCCGUGCCAGCAGCCGCGGUAAUACGGGGGGUGCAAGCGUUGUUCGGAAUUAUUGGGCGUAAAGAGCGUGUAGGCGGCCUGAUGUGUCAGAUGUGAAAGCCCUGGGCUUAACCCAGGAAGUGCAUUUGAAACUGUCAGGCUUGAGUAGGGGAGAGGGAAGUGGAAUUCCUGGUGUAGAGGUGAAAUUCGUAGAUAUCAGGAGGAACACCGGUGGCGAAGGCGACUUCCUGGCCCUAUACUGACGCUGAGACGCGAGAGCGUGGGUAGCAAACAGGAUUAGAUACCCUGGUAGUCCACGCCGUAAACGAUGUUCACUAGGUGUUGGGGGGUAUUGACCCCCCUCAGUGCCGGAGCUAACGCGUUAAGUGAACCGCCUGGGGAGUACGGUCGCAGACUAAACUCAAAGGAAUUGACGGGGGCCCGCACAAGCCGUUGAGCAUGGUGGUUUAAUUCCAUGGCAACGCGAAG
rnacentral:rRNA from 1 species